AUUGAACGCUGGCGGCAGGCCUAACACAUGCAAGUCGAGCGAACGGCGGACGGGUGAGUAAUGUAUGGGGACUGCCUGAUAGAGGGGUAUAACUACUGGAAACGGUGGCUAAUACCGCAUACUAUCGUAUGAGCUAGAUGGGAUUAGCUAGUAGGGGGGGUAAAGGCUCACCUUGGCGACGAUCCACAGCUGGUCUGAGAGGAUGAUCAGCCACACUGGGACUGAGACACGGCCCAGACUCCUACGGAGGCAGCAGUGGGGAAUAUUGCACAAUGGGCGCAAGCCUGAUGCAGCCAUGCCGCGUGUAUGAAGAAGGCCUUAGGGUUGUAAAGUACUUUCAGCGGGGAGGCGUUACCCUCAGAAGAAGCACCGGCUAACUCCGUGCCAGCAGCCGCGGUAAUUC
rnacentral:rRNA from 1 species